GCAUUUUGCAAGAUAAUUCCUACAUAUAUGCUAAGAAACAGAUGAUAAACAUAGGGUCCAAUUUUCAUUUCUCAAGCAGUCAUGUUACUGAUUUGAAACUUUCAAACUGAGCUGUGUUCGGAAUUAUCAUCUUAAACUUGAUCAGAGUUAAAAGCAUAUGUCUGAAACUUUUAAACAUACAUCAAAUGAUUUAAAGAAUUAACUUCCCCUAGAAAAUGAGCCUCACUAUUAGAUAUGUGCCUUGAAGCUAUGUAUGGGCCCAAAUACUGAUUUAAUCUAAUGAAGACAAGUUAUAAAAAUAACCACAGCAAAGGUGGUUGCUCUGCCUCCAUUUAUGUGUUUCAACAGAAGAGACCUCUGUAGGGCUGCCUAUGUGCUUCCUAAGGCACCAUCUAUAGAUAAACAGGAGACUUUGUUCCCUGGGUCUUUUCAUUCAGAGCCUUUCACGAGCUGUGAAUUCCCUCUAAAAGCACCUAUCAGCAUGAAUAAACUGAUAAAAGCAGACGUGUGAAAUGCCUUUCACUUAACUAACAGGCAUGACUCCAAAUUCUAGAACCCCCACUGCUUUCAUCUGAAACCCUAACCCACGACGAUAGUAAACAUGGUGUGACAGAAAGUCCUGCACUCUUGUUACAUGAUCUUCGGGCCACUGUCAAGUGAUCGUUAAGGACAAGCUUUGGCAGACAUGAUCCAUUCCUGUAUAGUCUUUCCAGCAUCUUCCGUGAGUGUGGCAUUCCAUUUUAUAAAAAAAAAAAAAUUAAUAAAUCCAGUCAGCCUUCCCAGAACAUUUAUUCAUUUGUUCAUUCAGGAGCUGCCACCCUGGGGAAUGAGAGGGGGACAAGUUACGCCCCCUGCUUUCAAGGCCUGGUAAAGACAUCAGGCCUGGGAGUUCCUGCUGUGGCAACCAGCUGGACUCGUAUCCACGAGGAUGCGGGUUCGAUUCCCGGCCUCGCUCAGUGGGUUAAGGAUCCGGCAUUGCUGUGAGCUAUGGUUGUAGGUCACAGAUGCGGUGUGGAUCCUGCGUUGCUGUGGCUUAAAAUAUAGAAUUUGAGAAUAAACAAAAAAGCUUAUUGAAAAGAAUUUACCUAGACCCCUGCAGAGAAAAUAUGCAUUUUUUCCUCAAGCACACAUGGGAAAUGUUUUCAUUUUCGAACUAGUUCAUAAGUCUCAAUUUCGGAGAAUUAUGUCACAAAGAAAAAUAACACUAACACAAAGGUAAAUUUAAAAAUCCCCAUAUAUUUUGGGAAAUCAGACAUUUCUACAUCACUUAUAAAAACAGAAGUAAAAUAAUAAAGCAAAUACAUAUGAGUACUUGUAACAUUCAAUGUAACAUUUCAAUUAUUAGAUCCUCAGUUUACAAGAAAACUAGGGUAUCUUAACAAAUGUGUGAUAUGGAAAGAGCCAAAAAUUGGUGUCCCAAGAAAACUAGUAAAACAGAUAAUCCUCUAGUGAGAAUGGCAACUGCAAACAGAAAGAACAUAGAAGUCAUCCUCAGCGUUCAUGAAAAGGGAGCGAUUACCACAGAUGAAGAGACUAGAAGGAUGAUGAGACUUACAGACAGAUCUGCAUCAACUAAUCAGAAGACUAAAUGGACAAGUUAUUCGAUACAUUAUUUUCAAAAUGGAUUCAAGGAGAAACAAAGCCUAUUUCUACCUUAUUUUUAAAACUGUUCCAUAAGCAGUUUAAAAUCUUUCCACAAGAAAAAGCAUUUGGCCUAAAUCGUUUCAUAGAACUUUUCCAUAUUGUUCUACUUUUACAUAAAUCCUUCCAGAAAAUAGAAGUCACUCUCCAACCCAUACCCUUAAGUUUGCAUCUGCAGCUUUGACCUUGGAGCAAACAAGGACAGGGCAUGGUGGAAGUUCAGAGCAAUCUCACUGAGGAAGGCAGAAGCAAAAUUCCUAAAUAAUGUAUGAGCAAACCAAACUGAGCUAUGAAAUUAGAAGAAAAAAAAAAAGACAGCCAAAUUGGGUUUAUACUAGGAAAGCAGGGAGGGAGGUCUUAAAUAAAGAUGUUUUUAAUGAUUCAUGUUAAAAGAUCAAACACACUUUGAUGCUCAUAUGGUUUAAGCAUCUCAAUAGAUGAAGAAAAUGUAUUUGAUAAAAAAAUCCAUCCUUGACACAAAAUAGUUAUCAAACAAAAAAUAAGAGCUCCCACAAGAUAAAGGCAUCCACCAAAAUACCUAGAGCAAAUGUAAUUCCCAAUGAUAAUCAUUUUGAAGCAUUCCCUUUAAAGUUGGGUUUCAAAUGACAUUAAGACUUGCGUAAAUUAGAACUCACAAGAAUAGGAAGACAUAAACCGAGAGAUGAUAUUUGCAAUACACAAAACCAAAAAUACAGAUUAGUUUCUGUAACACAGAAGAGAAUCCAAGAUAUCACUAAGAAAAGCAAACAACUGUAUGGAAAUCCAAUAGCAAUGGACACGAACAGCCAUCCAUACAAACGACCCGAAAACAUAAGAAUUCUCCACCACCUUGGUAAUCAUUGAAACGUAAAGAUGACAGGAUACUGUCUCACACCCCUCAGAGAGCAAAAAUCAUGACGUCUGACAGUCUUAAGUCUAGGAGUACAGGCAUCGGUGGCAAUACUAACAGUGUUGAAAGCAGGAUUUAGCAUCACUUUUAAAUGUUAAGCUUUUAACAUUUACCUACCCUGCAGCCCAGGCAAUUUUUCAGAGAGAGAACCCCUUGCAGUGCAUUCGAGACAGGUGCUGCGACAGCAAAGAGAAGGUCAAACAACCCAAAUGUCUUUCAGCACCUCAAUGGAUAAGCUGAAGUGUGUCCACAUGCUAUGAAGUAUUACAUAAUGAAAAGAAACUCAUUUAACGAAAUUUUUCUCCUCCUGAAAGUGCUAGCUUUGACCCAUCAGUGCAGAACAGAUGCUCAGCAGGUGAGCUCGGACCAUGGGCGGCACCGUGGGAUGAUCUGGGAACUCAUUAAAAAACGCGAAACCCCUGGCUCCAUCUCAGAUGUACCGGGUCAUCGUCUACAUGUUAACAAGAUUGCACUCAUGCUAAAAUUUGAGCGAGUACUGCCCUCCAGGAGCUGUAUUCAUUAUUCGCUGGAUCAUCUGCUACUUAGAUCCUCUAUGACGUCCAAAUAUUGCUUUCGGCCACUCUAGCAUUCAAAUACACGUAAAUGGGUUUCUACUCUGUGCCAGGCAUCCGACUAACGGCUAAAGAUACAAACAAAAUACUCUGGAGCUUUAGCAUCGAAGAGCUCAGACUUAUACACACAUACACACACGCACUUGCAAGAAGAGUGACAUAACCUGGUGUGACCAAAUUGGUUUCAAUUACACUUUUCAUAACAUAUGGUACUUUACAUCCUGUUCAUAUAAUUAUGUGCACACACCCACUUUAUUCUCCUCCUAUGUUCUGACGAUGAAUACUGACACUCCCUUCCAGUAAUACAAAACACAUUUACUCAGUUUGUGCCACACCGGCAAAAAACCGAAGAGCUUCGGUGAUAACUUCACUUACCUUUUGCACCUAAACUUGGAAUAGAGCACAGUUUUUCACUGGAUCCUCUGGCUGGCCCUGAUCCAUUCAGCCUUUGAGUGGAUUCCAGGACGACUAGCGCAGGCACUAAUUCAGGCAGUUUUUGAAAGGGGCCAGUAAUACUCCUAGCAUAAAUUCUACUAUGCGAUAUGAUGUCUCUUCCCAUCCCGAAGCAAAAUGCAUAAUGUGCUCUACUUGCACAUAUGUUACUCUUGUAAGUGUCCGUGAUGUUUUCAUUUUUCAUAGAAGCAUGCUGGCUCUAGGUUACAAAUCCCCACCCACACAGGUGUGUUACCUUAGACUCAGGUCCCGUGACUCCUGUUACCACCUCUGCCUUGGACAGCAAAUGGCUCUCAGGGAGCUUUUGAACCAAGAAAUGCAAAUACACCUCCUUUUACACGGAGUUGAAUUCCUAGAAAAUCCACUACUCAAGCCACACGAAAAACACAAGCUAUACAA
rnacentral:lncRNA from 1 species